GAGAGAAGGAUCCUGAAGAUCACUUGGAGGAGACCCACAUGCCAAGUGGGAAUACCUGUGUUGGAUUUUAAAGAAUUCAAGGUUCUGGCACAAACUAAAAGAGUUAACCUACACCUGGCCCUUUCACUGUGUUGUUUCACCAGCAAAUGUUGCCAGGUAAGCUGAGGUGGAGAAGGACCCUGCCAGGGUCACCGCAUGAAGAGCUUUGGG